UCACUUUUAGCCUAGUGGUUAAAGUACUUGACUAGAACCCAGAAGGUUGGUGGUUCAAGCCCCAGACAAUGAG